rnacentral:tmRNA from 1 species
GGGGCUGCUUGGUUUUGACAGCAGGGAUAAUGGGUUUGUAAGCAUGCAGGCCGACGCGCCAGAGGCCUUGAAAACAGACGCAAAACAAUAAUUGGCGAAAACAACUACGCUCUCGCUGCCUAACCGAAGCACAGUAAGUUCGGCUUAAUUCCCGCGCAAGGCGCAGGAACGAGACAUCUCCCAGCCGCCCCGACCGUCGGCUGCUGACCAGGAGGUGCAGGGAAAGACGGGAUAGCCGGUGCGACACCUCUACACGCCGGUGAAACCUUCAGAGGAUAAGGGCUGCCUUGGGUGCCGAUGUCCGGAGCCGCCCCGACAACCAACCAUCGGAUAAGCAUGUAGAAAGCACAUCUGUUAACUGUUUGGACGGCGGUUCGACUCCGCCCAGCUCCACAC